AUUGAUGACCUAAAUACCCUAAAAGCACCAGGUCUUGUCUGAUCUUGGAAGUUAAGUAGUGUCAUCCCUGUCUAGUACUUGAAUGGAAGACCUCCAAGGAGUACCAGGUGCUGUAGGCU
rnacentral:rRNA from 1 species